ensembl:lncRNA
CUUGGUUAUAAUAUUUUAAGUGUAUAUCAAAUUGGUGUUUUUUGCAUGAACUUUUUAAAUCUGAUUGUUAUCCAUGAAGGUGUAUAACAGUUUUCAAUGAAGAAACUGUCUUCAAUGUUAUUUUUUCUCACAGUGCUGGGGAUCAAACCCACAGAUUUGCACAUGAUAAACGACCGUUCUCCAACCGAACAUCUGAGCCUUUAGAUUUGAAGAUAGUUUUGUUUGGUGAUCUCUACUGGUCUUGAACUUGAGACUCUGUAGCCCCAGAAUCUUGCACACUGUAAUCACCAGUGUGGCUGCCAGUCCUGAUGAAAGACAAGGCUGAAGGUCAGAAUUCCAAAAUCAAGGUGUUGCUGGGAUAUCAUAUCCUCUGUUGGUGCAGAAGAGAACUUUGCCUAGUGACUGGUGGCUGGCACUCUUUGUGGCACUCUGCUCUCUGGAUCUGUCUAUUUAGCCCAGGCUGUCCUGGAACUUGCUAAGUGCUAAGGAGAACAGACUGGUUCAAACUCACAACAGUAUGCCAAGCGGGAUUAAAGGUGUGUGCCACUAUUCCUGGCUGUAUUACCCUUAAAAAAACAAAACAAAAAACCAAUCGUUACUUAAGAAAACUUAGUUACUUAAGAAAACAAUGGCUAACCCAGCUUGCUCCUCACCCUUUUCCUCUCUCCCUUCCCCCUAUUCUUCUUCGGUGUCAGCAGUUAUCUUGCUUGUGUCAAAACACACUUUCCUUUUUUUGAAGACCUCCUUUUACUUCAGUGAUGUUAUGGUACAGUGCCUGCAGAGCUGUACAUUAAAAAUAAUUGCCUACCAGUGAAAUAAAAGAAUUAUCCUGAGACAGGCUUGGUGUGGGGAAGACCCCAUUUCUGACAUGAGACAAUAUCAGGAUACUACACUGUGAAGGAAAGCUGCACGAGCUGUAGAAGUGAUAGCUUAAAUGACAGAGUAUACAUUCUCCCACGAUUCUAGAGGCCAAAAUCUUAACAUGUCAAAGUGUCAAUAGGGUCAGUCUCUUUGCAGACUUCCCCCUUGGCUGAUAGAUGGCCUGCUAUACCGAUAUAAACUUGGUCCUCCUCUGCAUGCCUGUGUAUGCCUCUCUCCUUACUGCACUGGCAUCUACUUUAAUGACUUACUUUUGCUUAGAGACAUGAAUCUAAACAUAGUCAGUCCUAUCAUGACUUCGGGUUAGGGUUUCAGUUAUAAAUUCAGAGAAGAGAGGACAGAAUCCAGCUACCAUUAAUUACCAUUAAUUAAUUACAGAAUUAUUUGGAUGUCAGUUCCUCAUCGAUGUCCAGUUUGAGCAGUGCUAAACUAGACACCAUCAGAGCCCGAAAUGCAGAUUCAGGGGUUAAUUUGGGAGCUUCACUGGGGUUGGCUGUUGCAAGCUCCUCUUGUUACAGAUUGUUCAUUACAAACAUUAAAACAAGCUGCCACAUCUCUGGCCAUACAGUCCUCAUCUCGUCUAAACAAGCUGCAGAACUGAUUACCUGGAUUGACUGCCAAUCAGGAGAAAUCUGCUAGGGGCAGAUGUGCUGAGGAAGCCACUUAAGCACCAAGGGGACAGUGGAGGAGUCAUAAGUCGGCAACCCUGCGUCGUGGGUCACGAUGUUAUGGGAUGAGACCCCAUAGUCACAACACCCCUCUAUAGCUGCUUUUAGAAAUCUGAGAGUAGAAGGCUGUGGAGAUGUUCCCACUUAAUAUGUAGGUAAAUUUGUUUUGGCAUUUGAAGGAGAGACACUAAUGAGUAAUUCAUCUCUGUCACGUUAAAACUCCCCAGUUCCUCUGGAUAAAUGCUAACUGGUUUUACUUGGAAACCACGAGGACUUUUCUAUUGUUCUGAAUGGAAGGAGGGGCUUUCUUACCAUCUUACUCCCUGGGUUUAGAUAAAGUUUCCAGAGGAGGUUGACAUACAGGCACUGGGAUUCUCUAACUAUCCCUACUUGUUCAUCAAGACAUUUAAUUUAAUUUAAGCCAUGCCCCUGUCAGUGAGUUACUAUUUCAGCUGCUUUUAUAUUUUGUAUGCACAUAUGUUAAAAAUAGUGAUAUAGUGGAAAAGUCUAAAACAUACGACAAUGUUCAUAACCCUAUUUUUGUAUUUCUUUAUGUUUGGGGGAUAACUGCAUGAUGAAACAUGCCAUCAGCAGACUAUGUGACUCUAACCGUGGGAAAACUAUUAAGGUCCAAGACCACCAUGACUAGAUGAUGGCCCUUAAGCUAGGCACAAAAUGGGAGACUCCGUUGUUAGGAGGUUUUCUCUUCCUUUAACCUUGUCUGGGGGAUUCUAGUCCCCGCACUUACCCUUACCUGAGAAAAGUCAUGUAGCAUAAAAAUCUGGAGCUCUUUAUGUUAAUGAGGUAUCUAGAUAGGCUUCAGUGUUCAGCCAAUGAGCGUCCCUUCCCAGGCAUUCCUUUCUGCAAAAGGUACUGAAUCCCUAGGUCUCCCCACUCCUCCCCUCCCCAAGGUAAGGUGUAUGCAUUCCCAUUUGCCAUCAAAUAAAACAGUUUGGACAAGCAAUCAGGGGGGGCCUUUGUCAUAAAGAGCUGUCACAAAGGCUUCCCAGAGAAGGCCUUCUCUCUCCCAGCCCUACUCUGGGCACUCAAACCAAACCUGGCUCACCCCCCUUCCAGGCUCAGCCUUCACCUUUCUG